GACGAACGCUGGCGGCGUGGAUUAGGCAUGCAAGUCGGACGGUAGAGCUUUAUCGUAAGAUAGAGUUUGAGAGUGGCGAACGGGUGAGUAACACGUAGGAAUCUACCCUUAAGACGGGGACAACCCAGGGAAACUUGGGCUAAUACCGGAUGAGAGUGCGAGAGAUUGCAUUUAAAAGGAUGGCGAAAGUUGUCGCUUAGGGAUGAGCCUGCGGUCUAUUAGUUAGUUGGUGAGGUAAGAGCUCACCAAGGCGAUGAUAGAUAGGCGGCCUUAACGGGUGGUCGCCCACACUGGGAUUGAGAUACGGCCCAGACUCCUACGGGAGGCAGCAGUCGAGAAUAGUCUACAAUGGCCGGAAGGCUGAUAGUGCGACGCCGCGUGAACGAGGGAGCCUUCGGGUGUAAAGUUCUUUUCUAUACGAGCAGUGCUAUAUAUAUGGAUAGUAUAUAUAGAGGGAUAGUAGUAUAGGAAUAAGCAACGGCUAACUCCGUGCCAGCAGCCG
rnacentral:rRNA from 1 species